UUGUGCGUGGUGCUGGCUGAUCACCGUCGGUCCAGCAAGGGGCGGCGGAUCGGAGGUCCGGCGGGGAGACUCCGGCGGCAGCAGGUGGCGCCGCUCGGGAGGAGAGCUCGGCUAGCGAGCGGCGAAGGCGAGGCGGUGGCAGCUGCAGGGGCGCCGGAUCGUCGCGGGUCAGCGCGGGCUGAACAGUGGUGGCGUUGGGCGGAUCAGCGGCGUUUGCAGCGUACGGUCACUAGUCGGCGGGUGGAAGCUGGCGAGUUGGGGACGUCCGGAUCUGGCGUGGUGCUCGCUGGACGUCGGAGUCGCAAUCGGGUCGGCAAAGUCAAGCAGAUCGGCGGUGUGGCUCGGGAUCUGAGGCGUCGGGGAAGAGCAGCGCGCGACGGUGACUGACUGGUGUCACGAGGCUGGCUGAGGCGCGAGGACUGGGGACUCACGGGUCGCUGGUACCGGCGCGGGUGUGACUCGAGACUCCGGCGCGGUGGCGACCGGCGCCGGGUAAUCGCGGACGAGUGGCGGAACAGGGCAGGAGCGGCUCCGGCGUCUGGCUUCACGGACGGCGACCGGCGGGGCAGAGCGACAGUGGCGGAGGCGCGAUGGAGACGAGCUGCGGGCGGUCUGAGAUGCGGUCGCCGGACGCCGGGCGCGGCGGUGGUCACAGCUGCGGAGGCGCGACGGAUCGGGCGGCGAGGGAGUCCGAGCGGCUUGCAGUUUGAUGGCGUCGGCGCAGCGCGGGCGCGGGUGAAGAGAAGCCGGCGACCGGGGCAGCGGAUGGGGGCAGCGAAUGGGGAAGACGAUGAACACUUGCAAAGAAGUAUCAUCCUGAUGCAAAUACUAAUGAUCAUUCCGCAAAGAGGAAAUAACAAAAGAUAAGAGAUGCUUAUGAGACUUUGCAAAGUCUUGGAAAAAGAGCAGAGUACGACAGGAAAUGCUGUGGAAGUUCAGAAAAUGUUGAAUAUGGUGAAGGAGAUGCUGAGGGGUUUCCACGUUAUUAUGAAAGGCAUUUCUCUAGUUCAUUCCGCAAGAUCUUUUCUGAGGUAAUUCCAAGUGUGCCGCAUGUCAUUAUCUUCCAAUCUUCUGAUCCAUGAUAUUUGGCUAAAGAAACAUUUGGUGUCAUAUCAGAAUUUUCAGGACAAGAUGGAUCGAUUUGCAUCUGAUGUUGAGGUUCACAGUUAUACUCUUGGUCUUCUUUGUUUAUGAGAUAAUAUUACUCUGAUUUCCGCCCUUUAUCUUGUUUGCUUAAUGAGAUAAUAUUGUAGGAUUAAUGCCCACGUUAUGUUGAAAAUUUAUAGGUGGAACUGAUAUUUUCUUUCCUCAAAGCUGUGGAAGGGUGCACAAAGAUGUUUCCUUUGUCAAAUGUCUUCCUUGUGAUACUUGUUGGUUAGCAGAGUUUAGUAUUUUCUAUUUUUUAUUUUUUAUCACACUGGUUACAGUGACAGUACAUCCUUCAACCUCUUGUUUCUGCAAUGUCUCUUGGAGAUCAAAUUGAUUAUAUAUGUAGCUUUAGAUGCUAAAAAUGUGAUCAAUUUAUGCUCACUGGUACUCUGCUGCUCUGGUACCGUUUGCUUGCUAAAGGUUUUUCAACCAAUGUGUGAUUAGUUUUUGCACUUUUUGAAGGUUUUGGCUUGUCCACGUAGAACCUAAAAGUAUGAUGAAAAGCAUGGAUAAUUUAUUAUAUAUGAGAAGCAAGAUUUACGAUUGGUUGAGGUGGCUUCUAAGAAUUGGCAAAAAUUGAGGUGCCUGGAAACUGUAGGGCAAUUAUGCCUCUAAUGAGAGUUAAAUUUACUGUGAUUUUUUUUAUCAUUGGCUGUACAUAACCAUAUGAAAAUCCCAGUUACUGAUCUUUGAUUUUGCUUAUGAUAUCCUUUGAUUUUUUAUUAGUUACUUUGCAGGGUUUUUCUUUUAGUACAUUUCCUGUAGCAAAAUCAUGACGAUAUGUCUACAUGGUAAUUGCAGAUGGGUGGGCUUAUUCACCUGCUGUCAAGGUGAGAGUAUGUCCAACUUGCAGUGGCAUUGGGAGGGUAAAAAUUUCCCCAUUUACUCCAAUGACAUGCACUACCUGUAAAGGCUCGAAGUCAGUUGUCAAGGUUUAACAUCAUUUCUCCAGUUCCAGCUCAGUUUUCUUGGUGAAGCUUCCAAUACUUAGUAACUUUGGGUAGGAGCAAUGCAUUUCAUGUGGAGGAUCAGGAGUUCUUGAAGGCACUAAAAAAAUUAAAGUUACAAUUCUUUCAAGUAGGUCAGAGUUAUUGAUCUCUGACAGAGUUUUGUGGUUUUUGUGUUAAAUGCAUCCUUUCUGUGAAGAUGUAAAAUGAUGAAUAAGGCUAACUGGGUUGAGACUUGAGAUCUGGGAGAGUGAACAGGUUGUGCAUGCUCAUUUUACAGCUUUAUGGCCUCAGUUCUUUAUGUUAUAUGCACGUGACAUCUGUGAAUAUUGUUAUUACUGUCAAAACGUGCUUCUGUAGGAUUCACUGCUUUAAUAUUCUGGUUUGAGUGUAAAUUACAUGCACAUGGGUUCAGGCUGUGUUGUUAAACCUAUAUUUUUCAAACUACCUUUCUCGGAUGAUUGCAACCUUCACGGAGCCAAGUUCUGUUACUCCCAUUUUCUUCCUACAGUGUUAUACACUGCUCAUGGUUGACUCUCUGAUGAUCUUGAAGUAUUUCCCCUCUGUAAGGAAAUAAUUUCUUGUUGACACUGCUAGGCUUUUACUGCUCCAUGUGAUGGCUGCAGGAGAAAUAACACUAGUAAAAUGCAAUGGGAUGUGUGUCUGAAAUAUGAACCAUGUCC